CCCAGAAGCGCCUCCCUCUCCUCUGAUAGCUCCCAUUGAUCGAUGGUGUUUAAUUCUGACCCACGGCCUCUGAGGACUUGGUCGAUGAUUGCCGAUGACUGCCCGCUGCCCUAAUCCUCACGCCACUUCCACGUCUGGACCGACCAUGGAGAGAUCCAAACCAAUCACAUCAGAUGCCUCCGCCUACAGGGCACGUGGAAGAACCAGACUCAGAGCUGCCUGACCUCCCUGUGCCCUGGAGUCCCACAGACAUGACGAGCUACAGCCGCUUCUGCAUGAAGAUGUACACCUCUGCCAGUUCCCAGGACAUCACGGCAGCCACAGCCAUGCAACUGAAGACACUUAGGAAAGAAGACUUGCUGAACUGUUUCAGAAGGCAGCCGGACCAUGGGGUAAAUGUGUUCGAAUUGAGAGGGAAGAUUUUG
ensembl:lncRNA